UACAGGGGGGGCAAGCGUUGUUCGGAAUUACUGGGCGUAAAGGGCUCGUAGGUGGCCAACUAAGUCAGACGUGAAAUCCCUCAGCUUAACUGGGGAACUGCGUCUGAUACUGGAUGGCUUGAGUUUGGGAGAGGGAUGCGGAAUUCCAGGUGUGGCGGUGAAAUGCGUAGAUAUCUGGAGGAACACCGGUGGCGAAGGCGGCAUCCUGGACCACGACUGACGCUGAGGAGCGAAAGCCAGGGGAGCAAACGGG
rnacentral:rRNA from 1 species